rnacentral:rRNA from 1 species
UUCGGGGGUAAACGGACAGAGCCCGUGAAUCCGGGCGUCAGUGUUCAGAAGCGACGACGACGGUGUCACAACCACCGCCGCCGUCGUUUUGAAAUUUCUGACGCCGCGGACGUCGCGACCCGUUUGACGUCGGCCGCAGGAGUUGCGUUUCACGUUCGUACGCGUUGACGCGGGGGGGAUAUCGGCGUUUCGGCGUCGGUGCCCUCUUCGUUAACGCCGUUACGAGUACGCGAUCGAAUUCCGGCUGACUCGUCAGACGGUAUCGCGGGUGACCGUUGUCGCCGUUAACGACGAGCGCGACAACCGGUACCGGUCUGCGACGAAUCUUCGGGUCUCUUUCCGACCCGUCUUGAAACACGGACCAAGGAGUCUAACGUGCGCGCGAGUCGCGGGGUGUCGAGUAGCGGCGUACGUUCACGUUCACGCGUGUGCGUACGUCGUUGCCCGUUACAAUGCGAAACCCGUACACGUGAAAGGCGUAAUGAAAGUAAAAUAGGGAAGAUGGCGUUACUGAGAACACGUUCCGCGAUCGAGUAUCGCGGCCAGUCGCCCGCAUUCCCGGGGCGUCCCAACGGCACGUCGGCGUUGCGGAUUGUCGUCUCUCUGGAGGCGGCGGUCGGGCGUCGACGAACCGGGGCGCACCUAUAGCGUGCACGUUGGUACCCGAAAGAUGGUGAACUAUGCCCGGCCAGGAUGAAGUCAGGGGAAACCCUGAUGGAGGUCCGCAGCGAUUCUGACGUGCAAAUCGAUCGUCUGAGCUGGGUAUAGGGGCGAAAGACUAAUCGAACCAUCUAGUAGUUGGUUUCCCUUCCGAAAAAA